rnacentral:rRNA from 1 species
AAUACUCCAUAAUAUCAUUGAAAGGCAUCUUUAGAUGAUUAAAGCUCCGGCGGUUAGAGAUGGACAUGCGCAUCAUUAGUUAGUUGGUGAGGUAACGGCUCACCAAGGCAACGAUGAUUAGGGGUUCUGAGAGGAUGAUCCCCCACACUGGUACUGAGACACGGACCAGACUCCUACGGGAGGCAGCAGUGAGGAAUAUUGGGCAAUGGACGCAAGUCUGACCCAGCCAUGCCGCGUGCAGGAUGACUGCCCUAUGGGUUGUAAACUGCUUUUAUAUGGGAAGAAAGCUUCGAUCGUGAUCGGAGUUGACGGUACCAUAAGAAUAAGCAUCGGCUAACUCCGUGCCAGCAGCCGCGGUAAUACGGAGGAUGCAAGCGUUAUCCGGAUUCAUUGGGUUUAGAGGGUGCGCAGGCGGAAUAUUAAGUCAGUGGUGAAAUCCUGCAGCUUAACUGUAGAACUGGCAUUGAUACUGAUAUUCUUGAAUAUAGUUGAGGUGGGCGGAAUGUGUAAUGUAGCGGUGAAAUGCUUAGAUAUUACCCAGAACACCAAUUGCGAAGGCAGCUCACUAAACUAAUAUUGACGCUGAGGCACGAAAGCGUGGGUAGCAAACAGGAUUAGAUACCCUGGUAGUCCACGCCGUAAACUAUGAUCACUCGCUGUUGGCAAUACAUCGUCAGCGGCUGAGCGAAAGCAUUAAGUGAUCCACCUGGGGAUUACGAUCGCAAGAUUGAAACUCAAAGGAAUUGACGGGGGCCCGCACAAGCGGAGGAACAUGUGGUUUAAUUCGAUGAUACGCGAGGAACCUUACCUGGGCUUAAAUGCAGAGCGACGUUUGCUGAAAGGUGAAUUCCUUCGGGCGAACUGCAAGGUGCUGCAUGGCUGUCGUCAGCUCGUGCCGUGAGGUGUCGGGUUAAGUCCCAUAACGAGCGCAACCCUUAUCGUUAGUUGCCAGCGGGUAAUGCCGGGGACUCUAGCGAAACUGCCGGUGUAAACCGUGAGGAAGGUGGGGAUGACGUCAAGUCAGCACGGCCCUUAUGUCCAGGGCUACACACGUGUUACAAUGAUCGAUACAAAGGGCAGCUACUUGGUAACAGGAUGCUAAUCUCUAAAAUCGGUCUCAGUUCGGAUUGGAGUCUGCAACUCGACUUCAUGAAGCUGGAU